rnacentral:rRNA from 1 species
AUCAGCAGCCAUAUCAUCCUGCAACUCACAACUAGCAGCUCACUGAAGCUAAGCAGAAGAGAGCCUGGUCAGUACCUGGAUGAGAGACCUCCCAGGAAAAACUAAGGUUGCUGCUGGAA